rnacentral:rRNA from 1 species
AUUGAACGCUGGCGGCAGGCCUAACACAUGCAAGUCGAGCGGAUGAAGGGUGCUUGCUCCUGGAUUCAGCGGCGGACUGGUGAGUAAUUCCUAGGAAUCUGCCUGGUUGUUGGUGCUAGCGUCCGGAAACGGGCGCUAAUACCGCAUACGUCCUUAGGGCGAACGUGGGGGAUCUUCGGACCUCCCGCUAUCAGAUGAUCCUAUGUCGGAUUAGCUAGUUGGUGGGUUAACGGCCUACCAAGGCGACGAUCCGUCACUGGUCUGAGAGGAUGAUAAGACACACUGGAAAUGAGACACGGUCAAGACUCCUACGGGAGGAAGCAGUGGGGAAUAUUGGACAAGGGGCGAAAGCCUGAUCCAGCCAUACCGCGUGGGUGAAGAAGGUCUUCGGAUUGUAAAGCACUUUUGUUGGGAAAGAAGAGAAGAAGGUUAAUACCUGGCUGUUUUGACGGUACAAAAAGAAUAAGCACCGGCUAACUUCGUG